rnacentral:rRNA from 1 species
GAUGAACGCUGGCGGUAUGCUUAACACAUGCAAGUCGAACGGUCUCUUCGGAGAUAGUGGCGGACGGGUGAGUAACGCGUAAGAAUCUACCUUCAGGUCGAGGACAACCACUGGAAACGGUGGCUAAUACUGGAUGUGCCGAGAGGUAAAAGGCUUACUGCCUGAAGAAGAGCUUGCGUCUGAUUAGCUAGUUGGUGGGGUAAAGGCUCACCAAGGCGACGAUCAGUAGCUGGUCUGAGAGGAUGAUCAGCCACACUGGGACUGAGACACGGCCCAGACUCCUACGGGAGGCAGCAGUGGGGAAUUUUCCGCAAUGGGCGAAAGCCUGACGGAGCAAUACCGCGUGAGGGAGGAAGGCUCUUGGGUUGUAAACCUCUUUUCUCAGGGAAGAAAAAAAUGACGGUA